rnacentral:rRNA from 1 species
AUUUACAGCCAUGCCACCUUGAACAAACCCAAUCCCGUCUGAUCUCGGAAGCUAAGCAGGGUCAAGCCUGGUUAGUACUUGAAUGGGAGACCAUUUAGGAAGACCAGGUGCUGUAGACG